GGGGCCUGUAGCUCAGCUGGUUAGAGCACACGCUUGAUAAGCGUGGGGUCACUAGUUCGAAUCUAGUCAGGCCCACCA
rnacentral:tRNA from 1 species